AGAGUAGUACUGUAUCUAAGCAAGUAGAGCAUGCAGAAAUUAGAUCAAAGGGUUUCAAAAUUUAUAAUUUUAAUGGUCGAUAUGAGACAUUUUCUCGUUUAACAGUGUAAAGAUAUCCAAAUCAAUUGAAUUUUGGUUAGAAAAUUUUUUAAACUAUUUGGAACAAGAUCUAUAUUCUCGAUCUGGAUUAUAAGAUUCCUAUCAUCACUUUUUAAAGAACAAGAUCUAUGCUCCCCGCUUCCGCAGCGGGCCGGGCCCG
rnacentral:lncRNA from 1 species